UCGCACAAGAGACGUGCAGUGAACCAGAAGCCCGAUGCGAUAUGUCGAGGGAAUCCGUUGCUCGGAGUUGCAGCAGCUUGUAUGCAAAGGGGAACAGCCACAUCCAGGGUCCAGAAAGUCACCACUGCAAGGCAAACGAGGAAUUUUUAAGGUGCCAGAAAAUGUGUGUGUGACAGAAGAAAUAGCAACAGAAAACAUCAAGGAAAGCUUCAUAAAUGUGAGAUCUAUUAAAAUGCAUUAAAGCCUCCAAAGAAGAACACUUCACCGUCUCAGAUGCACAAAACCAGCCUGGAGGAAGUGCUAAGAGAAUGUAGAAGGAUUGGUCCUGCAGUGGCUGCAGAUGACCCGGGUGUGUAACACCUCCUCGCUCCACCUUCCAAAGCACCUGCAGGGAGCAGUGCAUAACGUUGGAAAGGAAGUUGGUGAGAUUGCACUUGGAGCACUUGACACCCUCAUGACACUUCCUUGAAGUGGAUGCAAACCGGAAAGAUGAGCUCCUGG